AGUGAACGCUGGCGGUAGGCCUAACACAUGCAAGUCGAACGGCAGCACGGUAAGAGCUUGCUCUUACGGGUGGCGAGUGGCGGACGGGUGAGGAAUACAUCGGAAUCUACUUUUUCGUGGGGGAUAACGUAGGGAAACUUACGCUAAUACCGCAUACGACCUACGGGUGAAAGCAGGGGAUCUUCGGACCUUGCGCGAUUGAAUGAGCCGAUGUCGGAUUAGCUAGUUGGCGGGGUAAAGGCCCACCAAGGCGACGAUCCGUAGCUGGUCUGAGAGGAUGAUCAGCCACACUGGAACUGAGACACGGUCCAGACUCCUACGGGAGGCAGCAGUGGGGAAUAUUGGACAAUGGGCGCAAGCCUGAUCCAGCCAUACCGCGUGGGUGAAGAGGGCCUUCGGGUUGUAAAGCCCUUUUGUUGGGAAAGAAAAGCAGCAGGUUAAUACCCCGCUGUUCUGACGGUACCCAAAGAAUAAGCACCGGCUAACUUCGU
rnacentral:rRNA from 1 species